rnacentral:lncRNA from 1 species
UGUUAAUGUUGUACCUAUCUAUCAAACUGCUAAGGUCUUCCAAGUAUCAGGUGACUAGCAUACAUACGUACAAUAUCACAACAUACCUCGUCAUGAUAUUUUUCGAUGGAGACAAGUAUUAUGACUUAUUCUGUAAUUUGGACUUUGCCACACUCAUUCAACCACCGUAACUGGUAGGGAUUUGGAUGUUUGAUUCAUGUUAACCCUAUUCUUUCCACGAAUAGAAUGAUUUCCACAUUAGCACAACUACCACUGUCAAUGAUCAUUCCACAUAUCUUAUCAUUGAUAAGACAUCGCAUGUAGAAAAUGUUCUUCCUCUGCUCGUUGUCUUCACUCCUAACUUGCACUUUGAGAUCUCUUCGGACAACAAGGACAUUACUCUUAAUUGGAGUACCUUCGAUGGAUUGAGACAUAAUGUAGUACCUGCAAGAAAGGUUAAUGAAAAGAAUACAUUCUGUCCCUCACCUUCGCUCGUGUUUACUAAGCAAUCCCUCGAUUAACAGC